rnacentral:rRNA from 1 species
CGGGGUAACGCGUGGGUAACCUGCCUCAUACAGGGGGAUAACAGUUAGAAAUGACUGCUAAUACCGCAUAAGCGCACAGCAUCGCAUGAUGCCGUGUGAAAAACUCCGGUGGUAUGAGAUGGACCCGCGUCUGAUUAGCUAGUUGGUGAGGUAACGGCCCACCAAGGCGACGAUCAGUAGCCGGCCUGAGAGGGUGAACGGCCACAUUGGGACUGAGACACGGCCCAA